ACAUGCAAGUCGAACGCUGAAACCCGGUGCUUGCAUCGGGUGGAUGAGUGGCGAACGGGUGAGUAACACGUGAGUAACCUGCCCCUGACUUCGGGAUAAGCCCGGGAAACUGGGUCUAAUACCGGAUACGACCAUCGGACGCAUGUCUGAUGGUGGAAAGUUUUUUCGGUUGGGGAUGGGCUCGCGGCCUAUCAGUUUGUUGGUGAGGUAAUGGCUCACCAAGACGACGACGGGUAGCCGGCCUGAGAGGGCGACCGGCCACACUGGGACUGAGACACGGCCCAGACUCCUACGGGAGGCAGCAGUGGGGAAUAUUGCACAAUGGGGGAAACCCUGAUGCAGCGACGCAGCGUGCGGGAUGACGGCCUUCGGGUUGUAAACCGCUUUCAGCAGGGAAGAAGCGCAAGUGACGGUACCUGCAGAAGAAGUACCGGCUAACUACGUGCCAGCAGCCGCGGUAAUACGUAGGGUACGAGCGUUGUCCGGAAUUAUUGGGCGUAAAGAGCUCGUAGGUGGUUGGUCACGUCUGCUGUGGAAACGCAACGCUUAACGUUGCGCGUGCAGUGGGUACGGGCUGACUAGAGUGCAGUAGGGGAGUCUGGAAUUCCUGGUGUAGCGGUGAAAUGCGCAGAUAUCAGGAGGAACACCGGUGGCGAAGGCGGGACUCUGGGCUGUAACUGACACUGAGGAGCGAAAGCAUGGGGAGCGAACAGGAUUAGAUACCCUGGUAGUCCAUGCCGUAAACGUUGGGCACUAGGUG
rnacentral:rRNA from 1 species